UCUCCGUCUUCGUCUUCGUAUCCUUUUCCUCGUCGCGCCUCUCCGUCUCGCCCGUAUUUUCUUCUCCGUCGGCCUGUCUGCCGCGGGCUCCUGCGCCGCUCCGGGGCGCCCAUAUCCGGCCGCCGGCAGUCCUUUGGGGCUGCAGGUCGUCGAGCGGCGUCGGCUCCGUGGUGGGAGACGCUGGGAGCAGCAUGGUCACGGCGGCGUGGUGGCGAUCUAUGGCGGAGAAGCGUUGGGGCUUCGGGAGGUCCGGUUCGCAGUGGGCUUCCCGGCCUGGAUCUGAGCGACCGGCAGCGUCAUCUGCCUUCCUCCUGUCCCUGGGACCUCCUCGUGGUGCUUCUGCAUGGCUGCGUCGACCGACCUCGACGGUUUCUUCACCGAUUCUUGCCGUGUGCCUGCAGGUGUGUCCGAUCUGAACCGUGCGCGCUGCUAGCCACCCCCAAGUCGUCUCGCUUCUUCUUGGGGUAAGGUUUGAUGAAUUUCUUGUUGCAGUUAUAAGUUCUCCCCUCUGCUCGAACUAUCUCCAAGCAGGGGAGGCCGUCCGUGAAAGGUAGAGGAGUAGGUUGCGGCGGCAUCCAUGGUCGUCGACGCCGUCCUCUACCACACGACCAUGGAACUGAUGUUUGCCGGCCGCAACACCACGGGUUCGGCGCUCUGCUGGUUCUUCUACCUCCACGCUUCUCAUUUUGGUGUGCGUUUGACCAAAAAACAUUUACUAGCAUAAUCACAUGUACAUGGAGUCUCAUUUCCGAGCUCUCUUAAAGAAUGUCAAAAGUGUACUCGAUUUUCAUCGUGGCUUAAUCUUUGGUAAUUGAACAUAGUGUUCUCUGAAUCACCGGCCUCUCUAAUCAGAAGUAACGUUAGUAUAAAAUUCUGGUUGUUGAAGGACGCUCUUGUCAUAUCUAUCUAGAUUAUUUUUAGUAACUUGGAGCAGAUAUUGGUAGUCUCUUGAUGUGACAGCAUUCCUCUUGGUGGGUAUGAUUCAUAUAAGAAUUUUUGCUCUGGGAUGCAAUGUCUCUAUAUUAUAAAUCAUACAUUUCUCAUAACACUUGUAACAAACUGUUUCUAACUUAUGGCAGUUGAUGUGAAUGUAAGGAGAGUAGUAAAGCAAAUGCUCUUAUAAUCCGCUGACCUACAUUUCUGGACCUUAGUAUCACUUCUUAGAUACCAUCCUCAUACCAUUUGUUCAGGAGUGCCUUCCAUUGAUGUUCACCUAAACAGUUUGCAUGCUAGAGAUACGUGAUUAUCAUUGUACAACUACCGUACUUCCAUUUGAUUUUCCUCUGGUGCGUUUGUAUGGACUCCAUCCCUUUUGAAGACAUUUAUAUUUUAUUCUUGCUGGACUAAUGUGUAUCUUCUAACAAAUUUCUUGUAUCUUCUGACACAGUUUCUUGCGGUAUCCGCAUUGCCCAUUGGACCGCUGGCAUCCUGAUCUAACCCGUCCAUUCAUAUACCCAAUUCAUAACUUGUGGUGCUGCUGCUGCUAUCUUCUCAUAUGAUUUCGUUAUUGGAGUUCAUAAUCUGUCCAUUCAAAUCUUUACCCCCUUACAGGCUCAAGUUCAAAGUUAAAUGAAUCUAAGAAACCUAUUGAUGACAAAAACCAGUGGAUCCAGGGGCUUGUGCUUAUUGGAACCGCACCUGGUUACAGAGGUACAUUUGUUUGCAAAUAUCUACACAUGUUCUCAUACCAGGAUUGACGGUCUGUAAUCAAAUUCCUUUUGUCACCCUUCCUUUUAUUGUUAAUAAUUUGUUUGCUAUAUCCAUCUCAUGAGUUCGACCACUCUUAUAUCCAUCUGCAUUUUUAUAUGGUUAUUUUUUUUCUAGAUUUAAGAUGGCAGUUGCAAAAACUGCUCAGAUAAUCAAAAUUGUUCUAACUUUUUACUGGUUCAUACAUCAGUAGCAUAGUGUCUAAACCUACUUGCCUGGGAAGUGACUGAAAUUGAUAUUUUCACAGCCCCAAACACAAACUUUACCACAUGUAAUUGCAGUCCAUGAGUAAGUACUAAGUGGGCUGCAAACCCCAAAUAGUAACAACAUUUUGGCUGAAUUGUGCAGCCGAAAAUUAUAUGACCUUUCUAUAUGAACGUCUGUCUUACCGAAAUUGUCUUUAUUUAUGAGGUUAGAAUGUUUUCCAACUUUCUCCUCAUUCUAGUUUAUAUUUUUAUGAUUUGUAUCAUGUGAUUUCUUAGCACUUUUGCAUUGAAUACGUUUGAGUUUGCACUUACUUUGUCUGUUCUUUGCCAUGCCUGUUUAAUCCAUGUCCUGAAUUGUUACCUUUUCGAGUUAACUAUGAAAUUGUCUUGUUUUAGUUCAAUAUAUCACUAUAUUUUUACCUUCUAUUUGGGUUUUGUGCAGCUUUUCCCAGGUCAUGGCAACAUAUAGUUCUAUUAUACAAUAUUGUUGUUUAGGUAUUUUGUGGGAGUGGUACCACCUACAGGCAAACCUGCCUUUUAAUUUUUCAUAAGGUGUGUGCCUAAUGCUUUCAAGUAUUCGUACACUUCUGUUUGAUUUGAGAUGUGACAUCUUCGUCUACUGGGUUUUCUUUUAGAUUGUAAGUUGUACAUAUGAUCUAUUUUCAAGUAAUUGUUGGUAUUUGUUUGGUUGUUAGCUUCUAAUAAAUUGUGGAUUUUGUUGAGAGCAUUGUUUUGCAUGAACAUUAUGCUGUUUUUGGUGAGAGUUCUCAAGCACUACCAUCGUAUGAUAGUAGGAGGAUGGGGUUGGGUUUCCUCAGUUGUAUUGUUGCCAAGUUCAAAACAGGCAGGUGUUGGGAUGGAAAAUGGUCCGAAGCUAACAUGAAGGUCAAGAAUGGCACUGAGUUUGUGAUUGACUUGGAAGAAGAUUGUGAGCUGAGUGCUGACAGUGGACAUCGUGAUCUAACUACAUUCUGCAAAACUGUACUUAAUCGUCUUAAGAUUGACGGACAAUUUCUUCCGCACUUUGACGAGUUAGCAGAGGAUCAUAUGUUGAUAAAUGAUUGUUUUGGAGAUCCAGAGAAAUGGCAGAGGUUUCUUGUAUUGAUUAGCUAUCCUAUGGCGCUCAAACCACCUUUGGUUCGGGCCUCAUUCAUCUGUAAUAUUUAUAUAGCGGGAGAUGAAAAUUUCUCCGGGGAACCUCCUCGAUACCGUCCAUUACACAGCUGGAGGAAUUGUGCUAAUUGGUGACUUGGAGCACAGAAGCAUCAACUGUUGUCCAAAGUCUACAAUUACCUACAUGAGAAGAGUAGAAAGUAUAAAUAUAUUUUUGACCAUUGGUCACCUACCCACCGGCAUGUUUUCAAGUUUUCAAGGCACUUCAUCCAGCGUGCUCUUGGUUAAACUAAGGGUGAGGAUUUGAUUCAAAAAGUUGAAGAUAUAUCUGUGCUUGAUAUAUUGCUUUCCCGUACAAUUUCGAAAGCCAUUGGUAGAUCUGUGAGAUUUCUUGUGUUGAACUGUGGUGUAGAAGAAGGCAUAUUUUCUAGUGUGUGGAGGCAUUAUAUAGGAUCUGACUUCAUCCUAAUGGGGUCAAGUUCAACUCCAACUGUUCUCAGUGCACCUCUUAAUCACCCAUUUCUUCUGACAAUGGUGAUCACCAACAUAAGACUUGAUCAAGAAACACUGCAUCCUUGAGUCAAAUGAAGCCCAUGAUGUACUUCCACAGAGAACUCAUCAUCAUCAGGCCCUAAACAUUCAUAUAAAACCUAAAGUUCAGUGUUUUGCUCUAACAACCCAAUCUGUACAUCAAAACCAUGCACGCCGAGGUGGAACCCCAAGGCCACGACAAGAUUGGGGAAGGGGCCGCGGCGAGAACAGGGGAGGGGAGGGACAGUGCAUUUUACUCUUCAUUUUCUGAACAAGUGUCGAUAUAUAUGGUUAUAG